GUUCGAAUGAUUUUUAUUUUGGCUUCAAAUUGAGUUUCUAUCGUUGUACAAAAGUUUUGCAAGGCUCCAGUAGCAUCAGAUUUUAAUCUUAACAUGUAGGCCCAUGUGCAUCUACUGUAAUCAUCAACAAUGGAUAAAAAAUACUUAGAUCCAUCUCUACUCAAUUCAUUACAAGGCCCCCAAAUGUCAUAGUGAAUUAAUUCGAAACAUUUCUUUGUUUUGUGCGUGCUUACAUCAAAAGGUAACUUGUGUUGCUUUGCUAAGGGACAAAUAGUGCAAGGAUUAGAGAUUGAAAUUGUGUGAAUAUUGCUAUCAGGAUUGAAGUUAGAAUAUGACGAACGGCCCAAUUUGUAAUGCCAUAGAUUAAAUUCUUCAUGCUUAUUUGUAGUGGCUGCAGAAAAGUAGCAUUUGGCUUGGUUAAGAGCUUCUGAUAAAGUUGUGGAAGAGGGCAGCCUUCUCAGCAUAUUAUACAGUCCAUCCUUCACCUCACCCAUUCCAAUCAUCUUCCAAGUUGAAAGGUCCUGAAUAUAGCAGUAGUCAGAGAAGAAGACAAGGCAACAAUUCAAAGAUUGGGCAAGUUGUUUUGCAAAAAUUAAAUUGAAUGUGAAACUAGGAAUGCGAAGGACAUUGUAGAGAGUGAUAGACUCUAAAAUUUUUACAGUUCCUACAUGUGUAACAGGAACAUUUUCUCCAUUUGGUAAUGCCACAAAGUGAGAUACAUGAGCUUGAAUAGAUGUAAAAUAUGAGACUGAACAAACCAUGUGGUCUGUUGCUCCAGUAUCCAAGAUCCAUGGAACAUUAGAAAUACUUUUCUGAUGAUGAUGAAAUGCAGUUAGGGAUAGAGAUAUACUAGACAUCUUAUUGUUGCUUUCAUCAGAUGAGGAAGGUAGGACAGGAACAUUGUUUGAUGAAAGAGUGAAGUGCUGAGAGUUUGUUGCUGGUUUGAGGAUUACCAUUAGCUUAGAAUACUGCUUAUGGCUUAAAGAUACUUGGCCUUUGUCCUUCACUACUUCUUGAUUGGAACUCAUACCCGUAGAGGAAACAUUGGCAGCAGAUUUUCCCUUCUCAUUGAGCCUGUGCCCUGGUAGAAAUCCAUGAAGCUUAAAGCAUUUGUCUGCUCCACGCCUGGCAUUUGGCAGUAGGUACAAACAGGUCUAUUUGGAUUUGUCUUGAAGCACCGUUCAAGUGAAUGACCAGUGAUUUUGCAAUGAUUGCAAUAGUACUUGUCCCUUUUAUGUGAUGAAACGUUAUGGCUACCUCCAUCUCUGAAAUUCCUCCUGCUUAGAAUUGCCAUGGAAUCAGAAUUUGCAGAGGUUAGAUUGGAUAUUUCCCUCCUUUUUUCUUCCUGCUGGACUAAGGAGUAAACUUCAUUUAGGUUGGGAAAUGGUUUGAUCAACCGGAUCUGAGCCUUAAUCUCCUUAUAGGUCUCAUUUAGGCCCAUCAAAAACUUCAUAACUUAUUCCCUUUGUUGGUUUUGAAUCACAGUUUUCAAAGCUCCACAUGUACAGUUGGGAAUGCUCUCAUAAUUCAAUAGCUCAUACAAGAGGAUUUUAAGCUUGGAGUAGUACACACUUACAAAAUCUUGAUUUUGCAAUAAGGUGGUGAUGUCCUUUUUAACUUCAAAAAUUCUGGGGCAUUUUGUUGCGAAAAACGCUGCUCCAGGUCCAGCCAAAGAAGGUGAGUAGUUUCGGCAUAUAUGGUACUGCUCUUGAUGUCAAUGGACAUAGCAUUUUGCAUCCAAGUUAUAACAAUAUCAUUACAUCUCAACCAAUGUUCCAUCAAUGGAUCAUUAGGAUCCUCUGGCUCACACAGUAUGCCAUCAAUAAAACCAAGUUUGUUUUUGAUCCUCAAGGCUCUCUUCAUCGAACGAGCCCAGGAGUAGUAAUUGCUAGAGUCUAAAACAUGAGUGACCAGCAUAACAGUACUUCCAUCAUUGCUGCCAAUAUAGUAGGGAUUGUUGGGAUGAGUUGGAUCAUGGGAAAGAGCUGCUAAGUUGCUUCCACCAGUUUGUAGUUGAUUUUGACCUUGGUUUGGAUCGAUGUUUGAGGAAGGAUUUGUAUUUCCAGAAUUGGAUUCCCCAACUUCAGCCUCUGAUACCAUAUUGGAUUUGAAGAAUAUGAAAUUUGUAUAGUUGAACGGAGAGCUUUAAGGAGUAAUGAAAAUUAU
rnacentral:lncRNA from 1 species